rnacentral:rRNA from 1 species
GACGGAGGAUGCAAGUGUUAUCCGGAAUCACUGGGCGUAAAGCGUCUGUAGGUGGUUUAAAAAGUCCACUGUUAAAAAUUGAAGCUUAACUUCAAAGAUGCCGUAGAAACUUUUAAACUUGAGGAUGGUAGGGGUAGAGGGAAUUUCCAGUGGAGCGGUGAAAUGCGUAGAUCUUGGAAAGACCACCAAUGGCGAAGGCACUCUACUGGGCCAUGACUGACACUAAGAGACGAAAGCUAGGGGAGCAAAUGGG